UAGCACACAGACUCUGUUUCAGGUCUGUUACAGAUCUGUUUUUGAGAGUCUGUAAAUUGUUUGUAGUGUCCCACUUUUACAGACUGUCACACAGGUCUGUGACAGACCUGACUUACAAAAUCUGUAUAACAGGUUUGUUACAGACCUGACUUACAAAAUCUGUAUAACAGGUUUGUUACAUAACGCGUACCACAGUCUUUGUACUACCAACUGUUUACAGAUCCGUCGUUUCAAUAAUACAAGUAUACAACUCACGCGA